rnacentral:rRNA from 1 species
UACGUAGGGGGCAAGCGUUGUCCGGAAUCAUUGGGCGUAAAGAGCGCGUAGGCGGCCCUGUAAGUCCGCUGUGAAAGUCAAGGGCUCAACCCUUGGAUGCCGGUGGAUACUGCAGGGCUAGAGUCCGGAAGAGGCGAGUGGAAUUCCUGGUGUAGCGGUGAAAUUCGUAGAUAUUGGGAAGAACACCGGUGGCGAAGGCGGCGACCUGGUCCUUGACUGACGCUGAGGCGCGAAAGCGUGGGGAGCAAACAGG